GUUUCACUCUAUAUUAUCCAGUAUCAUCAACAUUGUACAGGAACGAAAGCUUUAGGUUAAAGUUUUGGCUUGUACCGUGUUCUUGUUACAUUGAGCUCAAUCUGAUUGGACACUGUGAAGAAUGUGUCCACAUGGAUAGGAAAUAACCACACACCAUUUCCUUGUACGAUUGUCGACGUUGUGUAAUAUGAUUUGAUUACACGUUCCAAAAUAUUUCCAGAUGUAUUUGGGUUGCAUCACCACCUCAGUGAUCCAAUAAACUAUUCGCGGUUACAAGGCGUUGUUUUGACAGUUAUGCUGUAUUCUAACGGCUGGGACCCCUGUAUAUCUGCGAAGUGCAGUUGGUGUUAACAUCAAGGAAAUCUAAACAAGUUUUUAAAGGCCACUGUAGACAUGUGUAAAACUUCCUUCCUCACAUUUAGUGUUGUGCUUUUCGAAUUCAAGUGUGAAAACUUGACUGCUUUACUAGCUAGAUAAAGAUUGUCAUGAAUUUUCACACACACAGCUUAGAUGUAUAAAUUCGAUUUUAAGGGGUUCAGCAGCAAUUCUCUCCGUUUCGCGUUCACACACUCGAAAAUAAAGUUCGUCACGAACAGGAUUCGAACCUGUGCGGGGAAACCCCAUUGGAUUUCGAGUCCAACGCCUUAACCUCUCGGCCACCGUGACGCCAUUUUUAAAUCCCCGAAAUAAGAUAAAAAAUAUAUAAUCUUAAAUUAAAAAAAUGAUGAUAAACGAAUAUUGUUUGUGUCCGCGCGUAAUACCCAACUAUAUAUAUUAUUGACUUAAAUAGCUCUCUUAAAAUAUGACUCUAUGUACACAUAAUUCCCAUCUCGACUUGAAACGUUAGUAACGUUUAACGUUUCUGUCUAAAAGCAAGCACCAACAUAUGGGCUUCAAAUAAACGUUCCUAAGGCGAUAAUAUUAAAGUAAAAGUAAUUAUAACGUAAAUGUAAUGAAAUGCCGACGUACACUUGUUUUAAGCAAAGCAUUAACGUUAGAAUCUGAUUAUUAUUAUUAAUAAUAUAUACUAGUAUUUCAAAUCACAGUCUGUUUUUUUUAAAUAAUGUUUAUACUUCGUUAAGAAACAACUACAUUUAAUGUCACGGGCUUAUGUCGGAUAUUUGUCAACAAGCAGAUGGAAACUGGCGACGUUUGGCCACACGAUGGAGACAACAUCCAUUCAAUUUUGAAGCUUCAGUUACAGAAACUAGUUACAGUGGCCAAAGAGAUACUACUACUACUACUACUACUACUACAACUAAUAAUAAUAACAGUAAUAGCAAUAAAUAUGGGUGUGGAUCCCUUGUUUUUUCCAUUCUAAGCAUUUGAAAAUGUCUUCUCUUUAUGGCACCUCAGCUACAGUCUAUACCUCCUUACAUAGACUAUUUAACACAGUCAGUGGAAGUUGUCAGUACUUCAAAAAUCUCCUUCCUGGGAGCCAAAAAGAUUUUAGACUGCUUGCCAAACACACAUAUGGUUGAGGUAGAAAAUGAAACCGUGACGUUUUCUGUCAAGACCGACAAUUCAUCUUACCUCACAUACUCCACAUUUACAAAAGAACAACAGGACUUGAUACACUCAAAACCUACCUUGCACACUUUUAAAUUGCAUUAAUAAGUGCACAAAUGUUGUCUAGAUAAUUGUUUGUCGUUUUAAACAAAACCCACUAAACCCAAGUUGAAGUGACACCAGCAUGCAGUACGGUCAAGAGGCCUGCAGGCAGCACAACUGUAGAGAACGCAGACAGUGGGAAAUGAACUGCUGAGAAGCCAUCCAUCAGAACCAGGAAUGCACCUUCUUCACCUGAAGGGAGUGUGGACUCCAGCAUAACAAAGGACAGAUUGGUACACAUUGCCUCUCCUACACACAAAGAAAAA